GAUGAAGAACGCAGUGAAAUGCGAUAAGUAAUGUGAAUUGCAGAAUUCAGUGAAUCAUCGAAUCUUUGAACGCACAUUGCGCCCGCGAGUAUUCUCGCGGGCAUGCCUGUCCGAGCGUCAUUUCAACCCUCAGGGCCCGCCUGCUUGCAGGCGCGGCGCUGGUGUUGGGGAUCGGCUACCCUGCCGUCCCCCAAAUACAGUGGCGGUCUCGCUGCAGCCUCCCCUGCGUAGUAGCAACACUCGCAUGCGGAGCGCGGCGCGGCCACGCCGUAAAACCCCCGACUUUCUGAACGUUGACCUCGGAUCAGGUAGGAAUACCCGCUGAACUUAAGCAUAUCAAUAAGCGGAGGA
rnacentral:misc_RNA from 1 species